CAAAAAGUAGUUUAAUUUAAAAUAUUAAUUUUGGGGAUUAAUGAUAAAGAAUAAUCUUUUUUUUUGA
rnacentral:tRNA from 1 species